GUGCUCGCUUUGGGAGCACAUACACUAAAACUGGAACAAUUCAGAGAUUAGCAUGGCCCCUGAACAAGGAUGACAUGCAAAUUCGUGAAGCGGUCCAUAUUUUU
ensembl:snRNA U6 U6 spliceosomal RNA